rnacentral:snRNA from 1 species
AGCUGUGGGUGCAACCUGGGCAGAACAUCUGUUACCUCACUGAUUACCAAAGUUGAAUCAGCCAAUCUGGCUUGGCAAGUGUCCCCGUGCUUCCCCACGCCAUCAUGAGUCUCCUUCUUGAAGCUAAACUCUUGAUAAAGCAACCUUCCUGGAUAGAGGAGGACUACCUUUUGGUCAAAAUUAUAUGAAAAGCUGCUCUCCCCAACUAGAACCCUAGACAAGCUCUAGGUAGCCCAUUUUUACUCCACAUAAAGGCCCUUGUGUUGGCAUGGGCAGGAAAGUCCUGAAAACCCCAUUCCUUGCCUCCUAGGUUUUCAAUGCCCCAAAGCCAAAGUGGACCCAGCUGUCUGGGAGGAAGCUUCAGAA